GCCUUUCCCUACGGAACAAUGGUGCACCGCAAGGCACUGUGGGUAGUGCAAGCACCACUGCUUACACCUGCAUUAUUGUUAUACUAAUAGUGAGGUGAACUGAUGCGGUGUGUGCAUGCCUGUGCAAUACUGCCCUCUACUGGACAGGAAGCUUUGGGAGAGGCACAUACAUCUCACCCAACGGGCUCUACACAGGUAGACGGGGCUGGAAGGCACCUCCAAGGCACAACCGUUGCGAAGGUAGGUCACUGGCUUAACCAACGUUUUGAAUCGAGAACACACUGCACCGCCAAGCGGGCUACCUCAAGGCACCGAGGACCUCCUGGUUUCAGGCAGUGUACAAACGAAUAACUGGGUUCAAGCCAACUGUGCAUUUCUCUCGCUGCCUCUAGCUCCCUCUUGUGUCACGAAGUCUGUAUUGCACUGCCUCCCUCAGGCCCUAUUCAACUGCCGUCAGAUGCAGCAAGUCUCUGGCAAAGGAACCAGGAGCGGUCUCGUCCCGAGUCUCGCCAUAAAUCAGGAACAUCAACAGGGUCCGAUAGGAUGAGAUUAAAGAGGUUUGAAGAUUGACAGCUGGCUACGGAGCAGCACUACUUCCCAAAGGAUGCCCUCCCCCCAUCCCCACAGGCCAGUGAUGUAGCAGCUAUGAUCAGAGGGUAUUAAAGUGGGCUUCAGCGUGGACACCAACGGCACACGAUAACAUACAGCUGGAGUCUUUGCUUUAAGAGCUGACAGAGAGCGCCAUUUCUCAGCAUAUUAACUGACACAUCUAGAACGCCUGUGUCUCACAGCGCUUCAUAGGCUGUGCACAGGCAGAGAUCUCCUCCUUCACCACUGAAACGCAGCCAGCUCUGGGGAGGAAGGUGGCAGCUGUUUAGCAACGCAGUGCAGAAGCUAUGGAGCCGUUUAGGACAGGAAGUGAAGAAUGCUGUACCCCACUGAAGGUGGGGCAAGGGGUAGUUAUAGCGAGGUGGGAUGCAGUCCCAUAUCACUAGAUAUGAUAUUCAGCCAGGACACUGGAGCCAACAUCUCUGCUCUUGGAAAAACAACAUGAAGAAGUGGGAUAUUUGAGUCCUUAAGAAGAUCAGCAGCACAGCACCCCCUGCGACACUGCUGGGCCACUAUUUCGUACAGAUUCCAGCGAGAGGGAAGAGCGCCACCUACUGAAUCCCCAACACUGCACCCUGCAGCACCUGGAUUUUCCUGCCCAUCUACUGACCCUGCCUGACUACUCAGUGCGUGAGAUCUGAUGAAAACCCAGCCUAUGGCUGCAGCAUCUUAGAAGCCAAGACCCCCGGACAAGUCACAUGGUCCGUCAGUGGCUCUUCGGCUCAGAGCAAUAAAAACAUCCUCACCAUAGGGUGUCUGGACUUAAAUUUCCUUCACCCUCUCUCUGUCCAUCCCAUCGGGGUGG